CUGGGGCAGAGGGAGUUCCUGCAGCUCCUUCCUCCAGCUGCAGCCGGGGAGCUUUGAUUUCUGUCAGUUCUGAACCACCAUCAAAGGGUGGAGAACUCGUUUCUGCUUUAACUGUAGCCAAGGUGUGAUUGCAGGGGGAGCUGUAAACACAGCACUAUUUCUGCAGUGAGAAUACAACACGGAUCUCAGCUUUUGCAUGAGGGAUGCCCUAGAUCUGGCUGCAUCAGACCCUAGCUGCCAGCAGCAAUCCUGACCAGCCGUGAGAGCAGAGGCAUUAAGCCCGACCCUGCAUUCCCACCCUCGUCUGCUGCACACGCUGCCUGUGAGGCCAACAGGAUGCGAGGUGUGCCAGUGGGUCCUUGGGCAUCGCUGCCAGGCUUGGCCACUUCCAGACUGCAGCAAAAUUCCUCAGCCUGUCUCCGUGCAAACACAAUUACUGUCAUUAAAUCCACACUGUGAUACACAAUGUCUUGGCGAUGCUCCCCGACGAGCCCGUGCACUGAACUGAAUGACUCCUACUGCAGCUAAAUACUGUACUCGUCUGUUAAGAAGACGCCGCGCAUUUGGCUCCUACUGGUGAUGAGCGGUCUGUGGAGCAGCCUGAUGG
rnacentral:lncRNA from 1 species